UACGGAGGGAGCUAGCGUUGUUCGGAAUUACUGGGCGUAAAGCGCACGUAGGCGGCUUUGUAAGUUAGAGGUGAAAGCCCGGGGCUCAACCCCGGAAUUGCCUUUAAGACUGCAUCGCUUGAAUCCGGGAGAGGUGAGUGGAACUGCGAGUGUAGAGGUGAAAUUCGUAGAUAUUCGCAAGAACACCAGUGGCGAAGGCGGCUCACUGGCCCGGAACUGACGCUGAGGUGCGAAAGCGUGGGGAGCAAACAGG
rnacentral:rRNA from 1 species